GUCAUGACGUCACUUCGUAAUUGCGUCAGACUGUAUUACUCCGCCCAGCGAGCGGAGUAAAAUGGAGGGGCGGGGGAGGCAGGAGUUGGAAGGCAGCAGACCCCAGUAGGAGCCGCGGCGGGCGCCCCGUGCAAAUGCACGGCUCGCACGCCUGCAGAAACGGCCCUGGUUGUGGAUGUCGCUUACAAGCACCAACAAGAGGGAAGAACAGUUUCUGAAGUGGUAGAAGGGAGGCCAGCUAGAUUGCUGCUGGAAAUUGUCCAGAGAGCUGUCACAGAGGUUCAGCCAGAGAGAGCACAAUGAACGAAGCAGAUGAUGUUCCAACUGCUGAACCCCAAAGGAUGCUAUAGGUAUCCAUAUCAGAUAUGAGAAGAACUGACAGGACAAAGCUUCAAGGCUGGGAUGCAGUCAAUUUACCGACAAUCAAAAUCCCGACGGUCGAAAUCCCGACAGCAAUUGACCGACGGUCAAAAUCCCGACAAGGUCAAAAUUCCGACAUGGACAAAAUACCAACAAGGUCAAAAUGCCGACAUGUAAAAUGUCAACAGGUCAAAAUGUCGACAUGAUUUUUUCAUUGAAACCGACUUGUUCAUACUUUACCAUCCCAGUGGACCUGGAGGGGGAAUAUAAUAGUGUGCCGAGUGCAGCGAGGCAUCAUGCCCGAAGCAUGGCGAGCGCAGCGAGCCAUGCGAGGGGACGCGGUACAUUUAUAUGGUGUCCAUGUUGACCUAUGUCGACAUACACACACAAAAAAAUAAUAUAUACACAUACAUACAUCCGUGUGCACCUACAUUAUUCUUUUUUAUUUAUUAUAUUGUUGGUAAGAAGGCACUUAAAUUGAUUUGUUCAUUCAGCCCUGUUAGUGGUAGUUUGUAGGGGUCUAUACAUAUUUUUUUUUAUUAGAAUCAUGUAUUUGAGCAUUUAAUUCAAAAGUAUCCCUUUGUGAAGCUGCAGAAAAUCACUAAUAAUUGCUACAAUUGUUGCCCAAUACUAUUCUGUUAGUUUAAACAUUGUUUUCAGGAGAAUGUUGCAAUGUAACAAUUUCUUAUAUAGUGAGUAUGCCUGACAUUUGGUCUCCUGACAGCUUUACAAAUGUCUUCAAGUGUAUCAGUACUCUAGAGAAAAAUUGCCAUCUUGGUUCUAAUAUACCUCCGCCUCACAUACCAUAUAUGACUGCUGCCAUAAUAUCAGUGUACUACAAACAAGGUUACUAUUAACCAAUUUAGGGUAUAAUUUUCUAUUGCCUAUAAUCAGUGGGAAUAUAAUUAUUAUAUUUUCGCAUAACGAGUUACUCAAGAUCCAAUGUAAUUUAUUAUUAGCAACCAUCACAUGGAUCAAUUAUUGUGAUCAUUUUAGACACUUGAGCUUGGAUUUUAUGAUUAAUUACCUUGCUCCUAUGAAUGUAUUCACACACAAAAAUAUUUUUUUUAUUGUUCUUUGUUCCAAAUACUAUCAUUGUUUAAAACGUGUUAUAUUAUUUGAAGCUAUUACAAAAUAAAAGUUAUGUUUUAAAUAACUAACAAAUCAUAUUAAAUAAAAGAGUGCACCACAAA